CGCGUAGGCGGUGCUCUAAGUCAGGCGUGAAAGCCCUGGGCUCAACCCGGGAAUAGCGCUUGAUACUGGUGCGCUUGAAUCCAGGAGAGGUUGGUGGAAUUCCCAGUGUAGAGGUGAAAUUCGUAGAGAUUGGGAAGAACACCGGUGGCGAAGGCGGCCAACUGGACUGGUAUUGACGCUGAGGCGCGAAAGCGUGGGGAGCAAACAGGAUUAGAUACCCUGGUAGUCCACGCCGUAAACUAUGUGUGCUAGCCGUUGGGGCUCUUAGAGCCUCGGUGGCGUCGCUAACGCUUUAAGCACACCGCCUGGGGAGUACGGUCGCAAGAUUAAA
rnacentral:rRNA from 1 species